AGCGGCGGUAGCUCAGUGGUUAGAGCGUCCGGCUCAUAACCGGAAGGCCAUGGGUUCAAACCCCAUCCCCGCUCCCA
rnacentral:tRNA from 1 species